rnacentral:rRNA from 1 species
GUCCACGCCGUAAACGAUGGAUGCUCGGUGUUUGGCGGGGAAACCUGCUGGGCACCUCAGCUGACGCGGAAGCAUCCCGCCUGGGAACUACGAGCGCAAGCUUAAAACUCAAAGGAAUUGACGGGGCCCGCACAAGCAGCGGAGCGUGUGGUUUAAUUCGACGCAACCCGCAGCACCUUACCCAGACUUGACAUGGCACUGCAAGCCCCGUGAAAGCGGGUCGCCUUCGAGGGUGUGCCGCAGAUGCUGCAUGGCUGUCGU